CACAGGUUGUGAACUCGAAGAGUAGGGCGGGACACGUGGUAUCCUGUCUGAAUAUGGGGGGACCAUCCUCCAAGGCUAAAUACUCCUGACUGACCGAUAGUGAACCAGUACCGUGAGGGAAAGGCGAAAAGAACCCCGGCGAGGGGAGUGAAAAAGAACCUGAAACCGUGUACGUACAAGCAGUAGGAGCCCACUAGUUGGGUGACUGCGUACCUUUUGUAUAAUGGGUCAGCGACUUAUAUUCUGUAGCAAGGUUAACCGUAUAGGGGAGCCGCAGGGAAACCGAGUCUUAACUGGGCGUUAAGUUGCAGGGUAUAGACCCGAAACCCGGUGAUCUAGCCAUGGGCAGGUUGAAGGUUGGGUAACACUAACUGGAGGACCGAACCGACUAAUGUUGAAAAAUUAGCGGAUGACUUGUGGCUGGGGGUGAAAGGCCAAUCAAACCGGGAGAUAGCUGGUUCUCCCCGAAAGCUAUUUAGGUAGCGCCUCGUGAACUCAUCUUCGGGGGUAGAGCACUGUUUCGGCUAGGGGGUCAUCCCGACUUACCAACCCGAUGCAAACUACGAAUACCGAAGAAUGUUAUCACGGGAGACACACGGCGGGUGCUAACGUCCGUCGUGAAGAGGGAAACAACCCAGACCGCCAGCUAAGGUCCCAAAGUCAUGGUUAAGUGGGAAACGAUGUGGGAAGGCCCAGACAGCCAGGAUGUUGGCUUAGAAGCAGCCAUCAUUUAAAGAAAGCGUAAUAGCUCACUGGUCGAGUCGGCCUGCGCGGAAGAUGUAACGGGGCUAAACCAUGCACCGAAGCUGCGGCAGCGACACUAUGUGUUGUUGGGUAGGGGAGCGUUCUGUAAGCCGUUGAAGGUGGCCUGUGAGGGUUGCUGGAGGUAUCAGAAGUGCGAAUGCUGACAUAAGUAACGAUAAUGCGGGUGAAAAACCCGCACGCCGGAAGACCAAGGGUUCCUGUCCAACGUUAAUCGGGGCAGGGUGAGUCGACCCCUAAGGCGAGGCCGAAAGGCGUAGUCGAUGGGAAACAGGUUAAUAUUCCUGUACUCGGUGUUACUGCGAAGGGGGGACGGAGAAGGCUAUGUUGGCCGGGCGACGGUUGUCCCGGUUUAAGCAUGUAGGCGGAUGUUCCAGGUAAAUCCGGAACGUUACUAACGCUGAGGUGUGAUGACGAGGCACUACGGUGCUGAAGUGACAAAUGCCCUGCUUCCAGGAAAAGCCUCUAAGCAUCAGGUAACAUCAAAUCGUACCCCAAACCGACACAGGUGGUCAGGUAGAGAAUACCAAGGCGCUUGAGAGAACUCGGGUGAAGGAACUAGGCAAAAUGGUGCCGUAACUUCGGGAGAAGGCACGCUGAUGGUAGGUGAAGUGACUUGCUCAUGGAGCUGAAAUCAGUCGAAGAUACCAGCUGGCUGCAACUGUUUAUUAAAAACACAGCACUGUGCAAACACGAAAGUGGACGUAUACGGUGUGACGCCUGCCCGGUGCCGGAAGGUUAAUUGAUGGGGUUAUCCGUAAGGAGAAGCUCUUGAUCGAAGCCCCGGUAAACGGCGGCCGUAACUAUAACGGUCCUAAGGUAGCGAAAUUCCUUGUCGGGUAAGUUCCGACCUGCACGAAUGGCGUAAUGAUGGCCAGGCUGUCUCCACCCGAGACUCAGUGAAAUUGAACUCGCUGUGAAGAUGCAGUGUACCCGCGGCAAGACGGAAAGACCCCGUGAACCUUUACUAUAGCUUGACACUGAACACUGGUCCUUGAUGUGUAGGAUAGGUGGGAGGCUUUGAAGUGUGGACGCCAGUCUGCAUGGAGCCAUCCUUGAAAUACCACCCUUUAAUGGCUGGUGUUCUAACGUGGGCCCGUAAUCCGGGUUGCGGACAGUGUCUGGUGGGUAGUUUGACUGGGGCGGUCUCCUCCUAAAGAGUAACGGAGGAGCACGAAGGUCAGCUAAUCCUGGUCGGACAUCAGGAGGUUAGUGCAAUGGCAUAAGCUGGCUUGACUGCGAGCGUGACGGCGCGAGCAGGUGCGAAAGCAGGUCAUAGUGAUCCGGUGGUUCUGAAUGGAAGGGCCAUCGCUCAACGGAUAAAAGGUACUCCGGGGAUAACAGGCUGAUACCGCCCAAGAGUUCAUAUCGACGGCGGUGUUUGGCACCUCGAUGUCGGCUCAUCACAUCCUGGGGCUGAAGUAGGUCCCAAGGGUAUGGCUGUUCGCCAUUUAAAGUGGUACGCGAGCUGGGUUUAGAACGUCGUGAGACAGUUCGGUCCCUAUCUGCCGUGGGCGCUGGAGAAUUGAGGGGGGCUGCUCCUAGUACGAGAGGACCGGAGUGGACGCAUCACUGGUGUUCGGGUUGUCAUGCCAAUGGCAUUGCCCGGUAGCUAAAUGCGGAAGAGAUAAGUGCUGAAAGCAUCUAAGCACGAAACUUGCCCCGAGAUGAGUUCUCCCUGACUCCUUGAGAGUCCUGAAGGAACGUUGAAGACGACGACGUUGAUAGGCCGGGUGUGUAAGCGCAGCGAUGCGUUGAGCUAACCGGUACUAAUGAACCGUGAGGCUUAACCUUACAACGCCGAAG
rnacentral:rRNA from 1 species